CUUGCAUCAGCCUGCAAUAUCCAACUUGCAUUAUGCAAAUAUAGAUGAAACAGACAGAAUAUAUGGUCUAGUAGGCCAAUAUAUUUUAAAGUGAAUUUGCCUUUUUACUUUUGACUAUUUAUUUGUCCUCUCUGUGGGAGCUAUUUAGGCAUCAAACACUUAGCACAGUAAUUUACAUAAAAAGUAUCUCAGGUUUGUAUCGUGAUCAUGGAUUAUUUACUUGGGAUUCUCAACCAUCAGAAAUGGAAAUUCUGAGUAUUCUGAACAAGGAAAAAGAGACAAAAUAUAUUUCUUCUCUAUGAGCGGGAGCAACGCCCAAAACCUCAUUGCAGCACAACAAUGGGGAGUAAGAAAAGCCCCAGGUCUCUCAAAAUGCCCACAAGGCUUUGUCAGAAAUUGCGCUGGAAGUCUAGUGGGAAAUGCCCUUGUAUCUGUGUUUGUGUGCAGAAGAUGGCCCUUAUUCUUUAGCUAAUGAUCAGAAAUUUUUUUACUAGACCUACAUUAUGUCAAAAGGUUCUAACUCUUCUGUGCAGGGGAUAUCAUAAAGGACAGAAUCAAUCAUUGCUACAAAAGCAGACAAACCAAACAUAUGCAUGGCACAUUCUUGCAAACCAGGCGCCGGGAACCUGCAACCCUUGGGGUUUGUGUGUAGGUGACAGAGCACUGGCUUUUCUGUGGACUCCUCAUUUCCCUUCCUGGGACUCAACUCUGUAGUUUUUCCCCAGAGGGAAUUGGAUCCACCCAAAAGACCUGGAAAGAGAAGGAGAGACAGAAAAAGAGAAAAAGGAAGGAGGGAAGAAAAAGAGUUUUCAAAUGGAGAAGACCUUCAAUUGUAAAACAUUCAAAAAACAAAACAUACGAGAAAAUGCUCAAAAAUGAAAGUGACAAGAGUGGGCAUGUUCUUAAGACCAUUUGUCCAUCUCAGUUGUAGGAAACUAUCAGUUAUGACAGCACAAGAUUGUUACAGAAUGCGAAAUUUUGUCACUCUGUGCAAAAAAUCUCUCUGGAAAUCAUAAUUCAUAUGGGACUUUCAACUCAGCAAGGAAAGUCGCUGCGUCCUCCCCACUGUAGCUCUGGUCUAAUUACGGACAACUGCUCUCAAGGGCUGGUUCGGGGCAUGACCAUGACCCAUCACUUUUGGGGACACAUUCUCCUCGCCUCUUGUGAGCUUCGAUACUUUCCCUGACACUUUAGAUUCAAAAUGUAGACAGGUUUCCCUUUAUUCAUUCCGAUUACUGAAAAACAAACAAACAAACAAACAAACAACUUUUGGCUGGCACAGUGGCUCACACCUGCAAUCCCAGCACUUUGGGGAGCCUAGGAGGGAGAAUUGCUUGAGUCAGGAGUUCAAGACCAGCCUGGGCCACAUAGGAAGAUCCCAUCUCUACAAAACUUUUUUAAAAAUAGCCAGGUGUGGUGGCACACUCUUAUGGUCCCAGCUACUUGGGAAGUUGAGGUAGGAGGAUUGCUUGAGACCAGGAGGUUGAGGCUGCAGUGAGCCAUGAUCGCACAAGCACUGCUGUGCUCCAGCCUGGUGACAGAGUGAGACCCUGUCAAAAUAAAAAAAAAUAAAAUUAAAAAAAAAUCUUUUUGUUUUUGAGAUAUUUUCAAAAGUCCCAUAUUCCUGGGAUGGGCAUUUGGAAGAACAGUAUGAACUGUCUGCUGUAUAUUAUGGAAUGAACUGUCUGCUAUAUUUUACGGUAUGAAGUGUCUGCUGUAUGUUACGGGAUGAACUGUCUGCUGUAUAUAUUACGGUAUGAACUGUCUGUUGUAUAUUACUACUCAAGGCUUUUUGUUUUCCCAUUAGUAGCGUCCCACCAGAGAGUUGUCUUUCAAGAAAGAUUUCUGGGUUUAUCACCAAGGAUCUCAGAGAAGUAGAGGCUGAGUCUAAAGAGAAGUGCCGCUGCAGCCAGGAAGGAAGGGGGCAGAUGGGACUCCUUUUUCCACGUGGUAGACUUUUUUAUUGAGUAAGACUUUCUCUUUUGGUGAAAGAGAAAGUCACAGACCUCAUCCAGUGAAGGCUUCAUCUCUCUGCCAUGGAUUCACCUCUAGUGGUGAUUAAAUUAUGUGCCUCAUUCUGUCUCUACCAGGGUGGAAAUCCGUGACUUUCUAAUUUGUUCCUACUUCCCUUUGAACUCACAUCCCAAUUAGUGGCACUUUAGUGGCAGUCAGGGGACAGCACAUAGUGAAAGAAACCCAGAGAAGCUGACAGAGCAGAGCGGGCUUGUGAGCUGGGGUUCCGCAGUGUGCUAGGGAUGCGGAGCCUUCCCAGGGCAACACGACCGCACACAGUGAGUGUUACAGGCGUGUCUGAGUUCUGUCUAUGCGUUUAAAUGUAUACAUCUAUUUUGUUUCCUCUUAAAGGCCCCAGGCCACAUGUACUAACAAUUCAGAUUGUGUUAAGGAAAAAGAAGCCCUUCUCACUACACAUACACACACAUGCUUACAUGUGCAAUACAAAUACAAAGUAAGAAAACCAACAACAUCCCAAACACGCCACAAGAGCACAAAAGGGCUAGAUUUCUCCUCACCAAGAAAUACCACUCUCUCUGCUCCCCGAACAUGGGGACUCCGGGUUUUUCUCAGGGCCCCAAAGAAGAACCAUUCCAUCCAACAGGCAGUAUUUCGGAGCCUGCACAAGGCUUCCAAAUGUUCCCAGGAGCUCUCUCUCUCUCUCUCCACCUGUGAAUGGCUGGGUGGCAUUGUUGGCUGUUUCUUUCAUUCCCCCUCUGCUUUGAACACAGAAACUAGCGGUUUUUGUUUUUUUUUUCUUUGUCAAUGUCUCCCAGAAGUAGUAGUCCCUACCCCAAUGUAUACGGGAGCACGGGAUCAUAGGUGGAUACCGAUUGGUCGUUGCUGGGACACCAUUCCUAGAAGUCUCUGGCAGUGUGUCUAAGAAUAAUGUCAGUACAUUGCAGACCCUACAGGUGCCUGUGGGCAAGAUGGGUAUUUUGGGAUCUCAGAUGGCACGGGUAAUUCUGGGACUUCUCCUCACAGGAGACAAGGAACUGCCAUGGUAAUGUUGAUUUCCACACUUUAUGAAUACAUGACAGAGAAGCACUGCUAAUUAAACAAACAUGAGAUGAACAAGACAACAGCAAUAAAUUGUGAGCUAAUUUAAAAUAAUAAAAGACAUCCAAAAGAAAUGAAUCACAAUACAGAAAGAUAAAACCCUGUUUAAAUAAUUUGGGGGUAUGUUCCAGAAACCAGGUGCUAAGUAAUCAUUUAAUUCUUCAUUUCCAUGGAAUUCUUUAAGGUUCCUCACUGGGAAAUGAUUUUUAAAAAAUCACAGCUUAAAUAAUUUAAAUGAAAACAUGUCUAAGGAUGUUAUGUGACAAAAUUUCUGUAGUUUCUCAACCACAUUUUGGAGGAAUGUUUUCAAAAAUUAUCUGGGCACUCUAUAAAUGUUAAGGUUUUUUUCAUUACAAGGUUUAUGUUACUUGGUGAAAUUUUAAUGUAAUGAAACAUUCAGCUGGACCUUGUGCUGGAUGUAAAAUAAAAUUAUUCAUUGAAAAUCAGACCACAGGCCACCUACUGUUUUUUUUAACAAAUGGUUGAACUAUCACGGGG
rnacentral:lncRNA from 1 species